AAUGAACGUUGGCGGCGUGGAUUAGGCAUGCAAGUCGAGCGAGAAGGGGCUGCUCAUCAUGAGCUGAAGGCAACAGAGCUAUUGGCUGACAGCUUGUGAUGAGUAGCCCCGGACAGCGGCGAAAGGGAGAGUAACGCGUAGUUACGUGCCCAGGGGUUCGGAAUAGCCACGGGAAACUGUGGGUAAUGCCGAAUAACAUCUCCGGAUCAAAGGUGUGAUUCCGCCCUUGGAGCGGACUGCGUCCUACUAGCUAGUUGGCGGGGUAAUGGCCCACCAAGGCAACAAUGGGUAGCGGGUGUGAGAGCAUGACCCGUCUCACUGGGACUGAGACACUGCCCAGACACCUACGGGUGGCUGCAGUCGAGAAUCUUCGGCAAUGAGCGCAAGCUUGACCGAGCGACGCCGCGUGCGGGAUGAAGGCCCUCGGGUGUAAACCGCUGUCGUAGGGGAGGAAAUCAACGAGGGUUCUCCCUCGUAGUUGACCUAUCCUAGGAGGAAGUACGGGCUAAGUUCGUGCCAGCCGCCGCAGU
rnacentral:rRNA from 1 species